rnacentral:rRNA from 1 species
AACGAACGCUGGCGGCAUGCCUAACACAUGCAAGUCGAACGAGACCUUCGGGUUUAGUGGUGCACGGGUGGGUAACGCGUGGGAACCUGCCCUUAGGUUCGGAAUAAAUCACUGAAAGGGGUGCUAAUACAGGAUAAUGUCUUCGGACCAAAGAUUUAUCGCCUUUGGAUGGGCCCGCGUUGGAUUAGUUAGUUGGUAGGGUAAAAGCCUACCAAGGCGACGUUCCAUAGCUGGUCUGUGAGGAUGAUCAGCCACACUGGGACUGAGACACGGCCCAGACUCCUACGGGAAGCAGCAGUAGGGAGUAUUGAACAAUGGACGACAGCCUAAUCCAGCAAUGCCUCGUAAGUAGUGAAGGCCUUAGGGUUGUAAAGCUCUUUUACCCGGGGUGAUAAUGACAGUACCGGGAGAAUAAGCUCCGGCUAACUCCGUG